rnacentral:rRNA from 1 species
UGGAUAGUGGCGACGGGUGAGUAACACGUGGGCAAUCUGCCCUUCACUCUGGGACAAGCCCUGGAAACGGGGUCUAAUACCGGAUAACACUCUGUCCCGCAUGGGACGGGGUUAAAAGCUCCGGCGGUGAAGGAUGAGCCCGCGGCCUAUCAGCUUGUUGGUGGGGUAAUGGCCUACCAAGGCGACGACGGGUAGCCGGCCUGAGAGGGCGACCGGCCACACUGGGACUGAGACACGGCCCAGACUCCUACGGGAGGCAGCAGUGGGGAAUAUUGCACAAUGGGCGAAAGCCUGAUGCAGCGACGCCGCGUGAGGGAUGACGGCCUUCGGGUUGUAAACCUCUUUCAGCAGGGAAGAAGCGAAAGUGACGGUACCUGCAGAAGAAGCGCCGGCUAACUACGUGCCAGCAGCCGCGGUAAUACGUAGGGCGCAAGCGUUGUCCGGAAUUAUUGGGCGUAAAGAGCUCGUAGGCGGCUUGUCACGUCGGAUGUGAAAGCCCGGGGCUUAACCCCGGGUCUGCAUUCGAUACGGGCUAGCUAGAGUGUGGUAGGGGAGAUCGGAAUUCCUGGUGUAGCGGUGAAAUGCGCAGAUAUCAGGAGGAACACCGGUGGCGAAGGCGGAUCUCUGGGCCAUUACUGACGCUGAGGAGCGAAAGCGUGGGGAGCGAACAGGAUUAGAUACCCUGGUAGUCCACGCCGUAAACGUUGGGAACUAGGUGUUGGCGACAUUCCACGUCGUCGGUGCCGCAGCUAACGCAUUAAGUUCCCCGCCUGGGGAGUACGGCCGCAAGGCUAAAACUCAAAGGAAUUGACGGGGCC